rnacentral:lncRNA from 1 species
AUGACAGUGAGCACAGUUACAGCGCGUAAAGAUUACAACGAUUAUAAAUUAUGUAUCAAUUCAAAUAGGUAUAGUAAAAAUGCCAAGGAAAUAUGUUCUGAUAAAUUAAACAAAGCUGUUGACACGACCACGCAAAUUGUAUCGAGAGAAUGUAUAGCGAAUACAGAGGAUUUAUAUAAAUGCUUUAAGCAUUCAUUUCGUUUAAGUUUUUGUGACAAAGAUGUUGUAGCAAAAUUACAGAGUUGUCACUCCAAUAUAAUUAAGUCCAUAACUUUCUAAAAGCUUAUAUAUAUAUAUAUAUAGAUGUGCAAAUAUAUAUAAUACCCAUAUUAUUAUUUUUUCUCAUGGGAAAUGCAUUAACGUCCCAAUAGUUUACACUAAUUUGUUUUUUAACUAAAAAGAAUUAUAUAUUUUUUAAUAAAAAAUUAACAUAUAAUUCUUUAUUAAACA